GUUAUCCAUGCACUAUCAGAUGGAUUGAUUCACUAUCAGAAUCUAGUUUCAGGCCAACGGAACUACGUGUUUAUAAUCCAACUCUGAUCAGGAGCGACUUUUACUGUGUCAUCAUCAAUGCCAAAGCGACAAGAUGAGAGAGAAUUAUUAAGGCCAAAGCGACAAAAUAAUUCCCGUCCAUUAAGACCAAAGCGAUAAAAUGGACUGAUUCACUAUCAGAGCCUGAUUCUGGCCGAAGCGACAGAAUGCGUAGAUUCAAUAUCAGAAUCUAGUUCACUAUCAGAACUGAUGUUUAUAGUCCACCCUGAUCAAGAGCGACUUUAUAUCCGCAACGACGGUUACCCCACCAAGGCCAAAGCGACAAAGUGGGUCGAGAUCAUUAAGGCCAAAGCGACAAAAUGAUUUCCAAGUCUAUCAAGGCCAAAGCGACAAGAUAGAAGAAUUAUUGAGGCCAAAGCGACAAAAUAAUUUUUGGUCCAUUAAGGCCAAAGCGACAAAAUGGAAUUCGACGACUUCUGGCCGAAGCGACAGAAGUGUCGGAAAGAGCUUGUGAUACUCCCCCCUUGAGGUCAUUAAGGCCAAAGCGACAAAAUGACCUCUGGUCUGUCAAGGCCAAAGCGACAAGACAGACUGACUCACUAUCAGAGUCUGAUUCUAGCCGAAGCGACAAAAUCUGUUGAUUCACUAUUAGAAUCUGAUUCCGGUCAAGGCUACAGAUUCACUAUCAGAAUCUGAUCCUGGCCAAGAUGGCGGAAUCUUACCUGCAAAAAAGGAAACAUCUUGCAAAACAACUAGAUCAGUCCAAAACGCAUAUUUUUAUUUACUUAUUGAACUUACCGUGCGAUUUUACCUUUCGUGAUGCCCUUCAUUUGCUCAAUAAAUCCUUGGUAAAUCUGGCCGAAGCGACAGAUCUUACUGUGCUCAAUUUUUGACGACUUCUGGACGAAGCGAUAGAAGUGUCAGGAGAGUUUGUGAUACUCCCCCCGAAAUUUGACGAAUUCUGGCCGAAGUGUCGGGAGAGCUUGUGAUACUCCCCCUCGAACUGUGACGACUUAUGGCCGAAGCGACAGAAGUGUCAAGAGAGCUUGUGAUACUCCCCCUCGAACUGUGACGACAUCUGGCUGAAGCGACAGAAGUGUCGAGAGAGCUUGUGAUACUCCCCCUCGAACUGUGAUGACUUCUGGCCGAAGCGACAGAAGUAUCGGGAGAGCUUGUGAUAUUCUCCCUCGAAAAUCGUGCCAUUGUGACACAUAACUUUUGGAAUGAGUAGUUUUCCGAAAUAUUUGAUUUUGAUUGUCAAUGGGCUAUCUUUUGUUUUUUCUUUGCUAAUCUUUCAUAUAAAUUACCCUUUAAAUUGUAACUAAGGCCCGAAACUAGAUUUACAAAUCGUAAUUUAGCCACUUUGGACGUAAAUUAGACUCUGCUAACCCUAUUGCUAACCACUCUGGGCGUAGACUUGGUCGUACGAAUCGUAGCUCAGCUUACGGUUAAAUUUGCGGAUAAUUUAUACCUCCAGAUUAACGUAGAGUUGUAAAAGAUAGCGUGAAUGACAAAUCCGAAGGAUGCAAAUAUUUCAAACUCGAGGGUUAUGUUUGUAAUUUCUAAUUACAACUUAAGUUUGAACCCUGAUGCCGAAGAGAGCUUGUGAUACUCCCUCUUGAAAUGUGACGACUUUUGGCCGAAGCGACAGAAGUGUCGGAGAGAGCUUGUGAUACUCCCUCUAGAAUUUUUUUGAUAUUUUUGUAAUAUUUUUGGAACUCAUUUUAAUCAAUUAUUUUGCUUUCUUAAUUAAUUGUUUACUUAAUUUAUUU
rnacentral:lncRNA from 1 species